rnacentral:rRNA from 1 species
CUUCCGUAGGGGGAACCUGCGGAAGGAUCAUUAGUGAAUAUAGGACGUCCAACUUAACUUGGAGUCCGAACUCUCACUUUCUAACCCUGUGCACUUGUUUGGGAUAGUAACUCUCGCAAGAGAGCGAACUCCUAUUCACUUAUAAACACAAAGUCUAUGAAUGUAUUAAAUUUUAUAACAAAAUAAAACUUUCAACAACGGAUCUCUUGGCUCUCGCAUCGAUGAAGAACGCAGCGAAAUGCGAUAAGUAAUGUGAAUUGCAGAAUUCAGUGAAUCAUCGAAUCUUUGAACGCACCUUGCGCUCCAUGGUAUUCCGUGGAGCAUGCCUGUUUGAGUGUCAUGAAUACUUCAACCCUCCUCUUUCUUAAUGAUUGAAGAGGUGUUUGGUUUCUGAGCGCUGCUGGCCUUUACGGUCUAGCUCGUUCGUAAUGCAUUAGCAUCCGCAAUCGAACUUCGGAUUGACUUGGCGUAAUAGACUAUUCGCUGAGGAAUUCUAGUCUUCGGAUUAGAGCCGGGUUGGGUUAAAGGAAGCUUCUAAUCAGAAUGUCUACAUUUUAAGAUUAGAUCUCAAAUCAGGUAGGACUACCCGCUGAACUUAAGCAUAUCAAUAAGCGGAGGAAUG